AUUGAACGCUGGCGGCAUGCCUUAUACAUGCAAGUCGAACGGCAGCGCGGGCUUCGUGCUGCUCUCGCGUUGCCGACGGGCGAGUAAUUCACAGGAACGUGACCUGCCGUGGGGGAUGGGAUGGCGACAGCCGGCCUAAUACCGCAUACGACCAGAUGUUGAAACCGGGGGAUCUUCAGACAACGAGGGUUUGGCGCGGCCGAAGGCAGAUUAGCUCGUUGGUUGGGUAAAGGCCUACCAAGGCGACGAUCUGUAGCUGGCCUGAGAGGACGACCAGCCACACUGGGACUGAGACACGGUCCAGACUCCUACGGGAGGCAGCAGUGGGGAAUUUUGCGCAAAGGGCGAAAGCCUGAUCCAGCAAUGCCGCGUGUGUGAUGAAGGCCUUCGGAUUGUAAAGCACUUUUGGCGGGGACGAACAGGACUGUACCUAUCCCUCGGUUCGUUGACGGUACCCGCAGAGUAAGCACCGGCUAACUACGUG
rnacentral:rRNA from 1 species